rnacentral:rRNA from 1 species
GAUGAACGCUGGCGGCGUGCCUAAUACAUGCAAGUCGAGCGAACAGACGAGGAGCUUGCUCCUCUGACGUUAGCGGCGGACGGGUGAGUAACACGUGGAUAACCUACCUAUAAGACUGGGAUAACUUCGGGAAACCGGAGCUAAUACCGGAUAAUAUAUUGAACCGCAUGGUUCAAUAGUGAAAGACGGUUUUGCUGUCACUUAUAGAUGGAUCCGCGCCGCAUUAGCUAGUUGGUAAGGUAACGGCUUACCAAGGCGACGAUGCGUAGCCGACCUGAGAGGGUGAUCGGCCACACUGGAACGGGGACACGGUCCAGAGGACUAAGGGAGGCAGCAGUAGGGAAUCUUCCGCAGUGGGCGAAAGCAUGACGGAGCAAGGCCGCGUGAGUGAUGAAGGUCUUCGGAUCGGAAAAAUCUGUUAUUAGGGAAGAACAAAUGUGUAAGUAACUAUGCACGUCUUGACGGUACCUAAUCAGAAAGCCACGGCUAACUACGUG